rnacentral:snRNA from 1 species
AGCUUUGCUCAGUGGCAGUACCAUAGCCAAUGAGGUUUAUCCGAGGCGCAAUUAUUGCUAACUGAAAAAAAAGAAAAAGUCA